rnacentral:rRNA from 1 species
UACGUAGGGUGCGAGCGUUGUCCGGAUUUAUUGGGCGUAAAGAGCUCGUAGGCGGUUUGUCGCGUCGGCCGUGAAAUCUCCACGCUUAACGUGGAGCGUGCGGUCGAUACGGGCAGACUUGAGUUCGGUAGGGGAGACUGGAAUUCCUGGUGUAGCGGUGAAAUGCGCAGAUAUCAGGAGGAACACCGGUGGCGAAGGCGGGUCUCUGGGCCGAUAUCGACGCUGAGGAGCGAAAGCGUGGGGAGCGAACAGG